UGGGGUUAGAGCCUGUCGGGGGGCUGGGGCACCCAGGGCUGUGCUUCACCCCACAGCACAUUCAUCAGACCCUCACUUGGGCAACUGCAAAGAAGUUCUAAACUGGCUCUUUGCCUUUUAUAAUUUUAAUUAGAAAACCUUUUCCUACGUGAUCUACCACAACUAAUCCGAAUUAGUGAGGCUUUGCAACGUUUAAAACGACCUCACUGUGGGUCCUGGAGGAGCAGCUAUGAGCAAGGCCCCUCCCAGGCCCUUCCAGCCGCAGUCCACGACUGCAGAGAGGCCUGACCCCACGGAACCCCAGCGGGUUCUGUCCAUGUCACUGAGCAGAUGCUCUAGAAAAGGCAAACAAUUGUGGAAACCAGAACAAAGUUGGAGGCUGACACACCUCUGGUUGCACAGCAAAGCUGGGGUGACAAGACAGCACAUUUCUGGCAAGAGGACAGACCGCUGUGGAUCAACAGCACUCUCCGGUGGGUUCAGGGAGAGCCCUACACGAACACACGUGUGCAUGCACAAACGUGUGCACUCGCACACACACGUGCACACACGCAGCCCACCGCUUUCCAAGGAGGCAAGCAGGGGAGAAAGGAUUCUUUUCAACAAACGGAGGUAGAACAAUCAGUGACCCAUAUGCAAAAAUUGCCCUUUUAUCUACACCGGGUAGCAUAUACCAGAUUAACUCAAAAUAGAUCACAGUCCUAAUUAUUAAACCUAAAACAAACUUCAAGGACAUGAAAAAGCAAAACUUUGUGAACUUGGGUAAGGCAAAGAUUUCUUAGAAAUGACACCCAAACACAGUCCGUAAUGAAAAAAAUGGAUGAACUGGACUUCAUCCACAUGUUGACAACUGCCUUUCAGAAGACACUGUUGAGGGAAUGAAAAGACAAGCCACCAGCUGGGAGAAAAUAUUUGCAGAACACACACCCAACGAAGGACUCGUAGCUGAAAUGUACAGAGAACUCUGAAAACUCAACAAUAAGAAAAAACCCACUGUAAAAACAUGGGCAAAAUAUGUGAGCCAGAGACGUCACCAAGGAAGAUAUACAGACGGCAAACAACACACGGAGGGACGCCGAGCACCAUCAGAGAUGCAGACGAAACCACAGCAAGGAGCCACUGCACACCCACAGGGAUGGCUGCAGCCAUGAAAAUAAGGAAAAGGACAGGCCCCCGGCUGGGUGGCUGCAGUGGCUGGAGGCUCCUUCCCAGCUGGCAUCUCGCACGGUGUCUUACAAGGCAGACACCUGCCGCCUGCACAGUCCCAUCCCUGGGUCCCACUCAAGGGACAUGGAAACAUAAGCUCACACAUGAACUCAUAGGGGAUUUUAUCACAGUUUUACUCAGUCACCAAAACAUAACAACCCGAGUGUCCCUCAGCAGUGACCAGAUGAACACACUGCGACGUGUGCACACCGUGGACAACACUCAGCAACUCGAGAAGGAGCCAGCGAGAGAGGACACAGUGGGCUCCAUGGCCAGGCUCUGUGGCUGGAGCCAGAUAUGAAAACGCCGCCCCCCUGUGGCUCCCAGAGCCCAAGGUCAGUGCUGUUUUACGCGGCACCUAGAGGAUCCACACGCACUUUACAUGUGUCCAGAAGAUGCGGGACGUUCCAACCAAACACCCGGUCUGGGGCAGAGCCGAGCUGGCGGGGGUUGCUGGGGCCAGAGCCCCACGGCACGUUGUCGAGCUUUCCCACGUAUGGGCAGGUGUCCCGCAGCAUCCACCCAGGAGGGGCUGGGGGACUGGGGACGUGCAGCGUGUGGGCAGUGGCUUCUCGCCCCUGCAAGCUCUCAGCUGGAUGCCUGCCAGGGCCUCCCCCCAGCGGUGCCUGCCACGGACAGCAUAAAGCCCCCCUUUCCUCCCUCUGGGCCUGCCGGCUGUGUUGACUCUAAGGCCCUGUGGGGCCUCUCUGUCCUGUGCUGUCAAAGGCGCCCCUGUCUCCUAUUCACAGCCCUGCCCAGGCUGACAUGCGGACGCCAGGCCUGACCACCAGCCUGGUGACCAGCGCUGGGCACGCGGCCCCUCUGGGCGGCCUCAGCUCCAGGCACCACCAGUGCCAGCCCCUCAGUCUGGGGAGGGGGUGGCUGAGGGGCUCCCCUAUCAGAGACCACAUUCAGAUUGGGGUGGAUGCCUGUGCCAAGAGCCACUGGCCACGCCCAUGUCCCCAAGCAUCCCUGUGAUCUUGGGAAGAGGGGCCCCCGUCUCUGCCCUGAGCCCGCAGGAGCUCUCCCUAGGAGAGCCAGGCGCCUUCUGCCAGAGCAGUCCCCAGCGAGUGCUGGGAAGACAAUGCCUGUCUCUUCCCCGAGACACUCAGUCCUGCUCGAGCUAGCCUGUUCCCAGAGCCCAUCAGGGCAGGAGGUGUCCUUGGAGCACACGCUGCUCAGAAGAUGCGGUUCUCCCCAAACCCAGCCCGGCAGACGUGGCCACUGCUCACACACAGUGCCCAGGGGAAGGGCUUGCUUCCCAGGCCCAGUCUUCUCCAGGUCUCUGGGCCAAACCCAGGGCCAGCAGGGGCCCCAGCUCGGUCUCUUGGGGACACUGGGGCCUGGCCAGGGCUGUCCAGGAGCCGGUGUGGGGCCAGCACAGCACUGAGGACCGGCCUGUGCCUCCAGGGCCGAGGCCACCAAAGCUUCCCUGAGCUCUGGGCUGAGGCAGAGCCCCUGCCCUCUCCAUCCGCAGCUCUGUGAUGGCACUUGCUGCUCGGGCUCCCAGGACCUGCAGAAGUGUGGACCCGACUGGCCCGUCCAGAUGCCACUGCGGGCAGAAAGCAGGGGACCGUCGAGGGCGACUAAGGGGCAAGCAGCUGCCCCCGUGCUGAGAGUCAGAGCAUGAGGGGCACCGGGGCACAAACCUCCAGGAUGUUCCCUUCAGCCGUGGGCUGAGGCCGACGGGGAUGGCGGGGAGGCUCCUGCCUGGUGGAGACGUGGACUGGGGGAGCCUGUCUGGCGGGCUCGCGUGGACGCGGCACGGGAGUGCGCACAUCUCUACUGGGCCUCGGGCGGCCCCAGGCUAGCCACUCGCCUCGGACCAGCAGCUCCGACCUGUCCCUGCGCUCGAGGAGGCUGCGGUGGUUCCCGUCACUCUCGCACUCCAGCCUCCUCCUGCCGGGGCUGGCCUGUGCAUGCUGACCGCCCUGCGUCCCCAGACCCCAGCAGGACCAGACGCCCAGGCUGAGAACCCAGAGCAGCCACUGCCCCCCGGGCCCUUCCAGUUCCUGGCCAGCUCGGAAACCCCUCGGGGAGCGGGGAGGCAGCCUCCGCCCACACGGCCUGGACGGGCCUGACAUGGGCCACCUGUGAGGGCUUCACCCCGCAUCGCAGGAGACCAGAGCCCCUUCCUGGACCCCCGUGUGGGCUCAGCUGGUGGCUGGAAACACCCACUGAACAGGCCGCUCAGCUCCGGGGCCUACGGGGAAGCCAGCAACCCUUCCUCCUGCUCUGGGCGCCCAGGCACACCCACUGGCUGCCCCGGCUCCACCUUCCAUGGCCUCUGCCCACAACACCCAGUUACCUCCCUCCGAGUGGGAAACAAGCCCGCCCUUACGGCUCCUCCUAACUUCACGUUGCCUAGUGCCUUUGUGUGGUCACUCGCCUGUGGCCGUCACCAGGACCUGGACUCGGGGCCAGAGGGGCCCCGUGCGGGCUCCCGAGGCGGAGUGGACGGGCCGAGCCACCGGGGAGCGGGGCCUGUCGCCGGCCAACGCCACGGAGAAUGGCCAAUCCUGCCCCAACGAGCCGUCACAGACUCCCAGGAGCCUUAACUGCAAGGCCACAGAGCCACCAGCCCGCUGAUGCUUGCCACAGACGCCUGCCUGCGCAGCCCAUCGCGCCCACGGGCCUCCACUCUGCAGAAGCUGUGGUUGCCUGCCCUGCCGCCAGCGGCCACCAGAGGGCGCCACAGGGACACGCCUGGCCCAGGCUCCGGCCAAGGCCGCCGGACCCCGAGACGUGGCCCUAGAGUGGCUUUUGAGAAGAGCCGUCUGCAGACUUCAGGAUGAGCCCCACUGGGCCCUGCCGUCCCUGGCAGGUGGCAGCAGGACCUGCCCCACACACGGUGAGGUGAUCCCUGGGCACUGUAUUCCAAGAAGGGCAGGUGUCUCGAAGUACAACCACGUCACGUGCCCUCACUGCCUGUCAGAGCACAGAAUCUGCCCCCAGAUUUGGACCCGCAGACAUCUCGGGACGUCUGCACGACCGUCCCUCCCCGAGCGUGGACCCUGGGCCCUGGAAAAGAAGCCGCCUGGCCUGGAGGAAGCCCGUGUGGCACUUACUUGAUCUUGCUGAAG